rnacentral:rRNA from 1 species
CAGUAGCCGCGGGAAUACAGAGGGUGCGAGCGUUAAUCGGAUUUACUGGGCGUAAAGCGUGCGUAGGCGGCUAAUUGAGUCGGAUGUGAAAUCCCCGGGCUUAACCUGGGAACUGCAUUUGAAACUGGCAGACUGGAGUCUUGUAGAGGGGUGUAGAAUUCCAGGUGUAGCGGUGAAAUGCGUAGAGAUCUGGAGGAAUACCGGUGGCGAAGGCGGCCCCCUGGACAAAGACUGACGCUCAGGUGCGAAAGCGUGGGGAGCAAACAGGAUUAGAUACCCCGGUAGUCCCUGUCUCUUAUAC